UACGUAGGGGGCUAGCGUUGUCCGGAAUCAUUGGGCGUAAAGCGCGUGUAGGCGGCCCGGUAAGUCCGCUGUGAAAGUCGGGGGCUCAACCCUCGGAAGCCGGUGGAUACUGUCGGGCUCGAGUACGGAAGAGGCGAGUGGAAUUCCUGGUGUAGCGGUGAAAUGCGCAGAUAUCAGGAGGAACACCUAUUGCGAAGGCAGCUCGCUGGGACGUAACUGACGCUGAGACGCGAAAGCGUGGGGAGCAAACAGG
rnacentral:rRNA from 1 species